rnacentral:lncRNA from 1 species
GCUCCCUGCUGCUGAGCUAUAAAGGCAGCAGCCCAGCCCUAAACAUGCUUCCAUUGGUCAGUGAUAAUCAAGGUGCUUGUGUGCUGUUAGUGCUGUUUUGGCUGAAACUAGGAUGCUGUAUGACAGCAUCCCUAUUUCUGGCUUGGGGGGGCCUCUUGAUCCAGCGCAUCGCUUCUGCAGAUGUGGCAGGAGAUCCACUGUUAAUAAACCAGAUAGUAGUGAUCAACAGCAAGAAGCUGCUGCAGCUGAUAAAAUGGGAGUUAGAAAGCCUUACUCAAAAAGUAGUGUCUGGGAAGAGGCUGUACAUCCAGGAGCUGAAGGGAUGAUUAACAUCUGCCUGGAAAUAUGCCAAGUGAAUGAGAAAUGGCAGCUUCAAACAUGUCAGAAGGAAUCUCCAGGGAACACCUCUCUAUGGAAAAAAGCUGAAAAAUUCUUUCAAACUGAGGAAGAAAUACUUUGUUCAAGCGGAAUUUACAUGUUUUAAAUUAAUUUUGCCUGUGCAUAAGCCGUUGAGUCUAUGACGGUCUGAAAUAGAGCUCAGUACUUGAUUAAGAAUACUUGCACUUUAGUCCUUUUGAGGGUCAGCUUCCUCUUAAAAACCUACUCUAUCUCAGAAGUCCUUCACAAUGAGACAUAGAAAAAAGGCAGAAAUUUAAAUAAUUCUUAUUUCUUGCUUGUGCUCUCUUUGUCUGUUUCUUUGUGUUCUUACCCUUUAUUGGAUAGAAAGCCAUUCUCAUAUAUUGGCAGCUUUUACAUUGUCUUUAAUUUUGUUGGAUAAUGACAGGUAUGUGAAAGCCCAGUGAACCAAAAAUAAGUACUAAUUUCUCUGAUUAAAGGUUCAAAGUUUUAAAUUACUUACUUCACUCAAUGUACUACAUUAUUACAUGUUUACUAAAGAAAUAACCUGGCACUCGGAACAGAGCAACUCACUUUUUGCUGUCACAUCUAAUGUAAGUAAGCCAACAUUUUGUGUAUAUACAUAUAUGUAUAUACACAAGCAUUAAGCAGCAACUUAAAGUUUGCUUGUUGUGUCAAUAUGGGAGAGUAAGAGAAAUAUGGAAAAAUACCUAAUCUGUGACUCCCGUGUUUUAUGAAUCGAAGUUGCUUCAAUAGUUUGAUGCUUCGGCAUCUGCAUUUUGCUGAAGUCCCUAUAGCUGCAUUGUGCCUCUAGGUAGAAGUUUAUCUUAAGAUAAAUUUGCUUCAACGUUAUGUCUCUGUGUUUCUCUUACAAAGCAUUUCUGUGUAUUUCAGUGUCUGUAAAUAUCCCUAAAAUGUUUUUAUAGAUGCCACAGCCUAAAUCAUCACAUUUAAUUCAUAAUCAACAUACUGACAAAUCAUGGUUUGUAGCCUAGCCACCAAGACAAACAGACUGCACAACAGCAAAAGAUCGGUACAUGUUUUCUCUGUUAGACAGUGCGUUUGUUUCUCCACAUACCACUUUUCUUAGCUCUAUGUUGCUUAUUCUUUAUUUCUGUUCUAUUUUU